CGGCAGCUUACACAUGCAGUCGAGCGGUAACAGGGGGUGCUUGCACCCCGCUGACGAGCGGCGGACGGGUGAGUAAUGCAUAGGAAUCUGCCCAGUAGUGGGGGAUAGCCCGGGGAAACCCGGAUUAAUACCGCAUACGUCCUUCGGGGGAAAGCAGGGGAUCUUCGGACCUUGCGCUAUUGGAUGAGCCUAUGUCGGAUUAGCUAGUUGGUGGGGUAAAGGCCUACCAAGGCGACGAUCCGUAGCUGGUCUGAGAGGAUGAUCAGCCACAUCGGGACUGAGACACGGCCCGAACUCCUACGGGAGGCAGCAGUGGGGAAUAUUGGACAAUGGGGGCAACCCUGAUCCAGCCAUGCCGCGUGUGUGAAGAAGGCUUUCGGGUUGUAAAGCACUUUCAGUGAGGAGGAAAACCUUCUGGUUAAUACCCAUGAGGCUUGACGUUACUCACAGAAGAAGCACCGGCUAACUCCGUGCCAGCAGCCGCGGUAAUACGGAGGGUGCAAGCGUUAAUCGGAAUUACUGGGCGUAAAGCGCGCGUAGGUGGUUUGAUAAGCGAGAUGUGAAAGCCCCGGGCUUAACCUGGGAACGGCAUUUCGAACUGUCAGGCUAG
rnacentral:rRNA from 1 species